UAGGGAAUUUUUCACAAUGAGCGAAAGCUUGAUGGAGCAAUGCCGCGUGAACGAUAAAGGUCUUUAAGAUUGUAAAGUUCUUUUAUUUGGGAAGAAUGACUUUAGCAGGUAAUGGCUAGAGUUUGACUGUACCAUUUUGAAUAAGUGACGACUAACUAUGUGCCAGCAGUCGCGGUAAUACAUAGGUCGCAAGCGUUAUCCGGAUUUAUUGGGCGUAAAGCAAGCGCAGGCGGAUUGAAAAGUCUGGUGUUAAAGGCAGCUGCUUAACAGUUGUAUGCAUUGGAAACUAUUAAUCUAGAGUGUGGUAGGGAGUUUUGGAAUUUCAUGUGGAGCGGUGAAAUGCGUAGAUAUAUGAAGGAACACCAGUGGCGAAGGCGAAAACUUAGGCCAUUACUGACGCUUAGGCUUGAAAGUGUGGGGAGCAAAUAGGAUUAGAUACCCUAGUAGUCCACACCGUAAACGAUAGAUACUAGCUGUCGGGGCGAUCCCCUCGGUAGUGAAGUUAACACAUUAAGUAUCUCGCCUGGGUAGUACAUUCGCAAGAAUG
rnacentral:rRNA from 1 species